CGAGGCUGCGGUAGGAAAGGCAUCAGGAGGAAGUCAGGAGCUUCGCAGCUUGCCAGUGGCCAUGUCAACCUGUACGCUUGUCAUGGUGAACUGCUGAAGCUAAGCAGGGCUGGGAUUGGCUAGAAUGACUGAAAGAGGUGUUUGCGUGGCAUUCUUCCCUGCGGACCAAACGAGUCCAGUGCCCACCGUGAUGGGGACACUGUGCUGUCAUUCAGGUAAGACAUUAAACCAAGGUCUGUAACACUGGCAAAAGCUGUCUGAAUUCAAACAGUAUGCUUUCUCUAAGGGCCUUGAUGUCAAAGUUGUUCAUUCUCAGUCACCGCCUAUCUCAUAUUACUCUCAAGAAAACUCUUUGGCUCAAGACGCAUAUAAUCUCCUGUAUAAUGGUAAAAAUGCUCCUACCUAUGAUUUCACCUUCUUCGUUUCUCACCACUGCCUUGUCAUAGGCUCCCAGGCCCCUGUGAAUGAGAGAGAGAGAGAGAGAGAGAGAGAGAGAGAGAGAGAGAGAGAGAGAGAGAGAGAGAGAGAGACGGCUCUGUUAUAGCUCCAUUGUGGCUCUGUUGCAGUUGUAACCCUGCCCCCUGACCUGACCAGCAGAGUGGUGAGUGCAUAAUAUCUAAAGUGAAGCCAGGUAUCACACAGUUCAGUACCAUUUAGAAAAGCAGUGUGUUAUGUGAAAAUUUGUCGUGCCAUAAGUCAAGAAACAGAAUUAUUUUAGCUUUGUUUCAACAAUCAUUGGUCAUUGGUGACCAAUCAUUGGUCACUUAAAAAAUAUAUUUAUUUGUAUGGAAUACAAAGUAUAUAUUUAAAUUCUUCCAGGCAUAGGGUCAGUACAGGUAAAUAGACCCCCAAAAAUGUUUGUGACAUUUGCUUUGAGAUGGCCAGCUUUUGAGUCCAGUGAUUUCUGCGAGGAGGAGCUGCUAGCUCUUUUCUGCCCAGCAGGGCGGCGAUCUCACUCACCCUUUGGGACACAGAAGGUCAGGACGGUUUCCCAGGAAGUCGGAACUGCCCUGUAUUUGGGCCCAGGGUAUACAGACGACAGCAUUUAGAUCCCGGGUUGAGCCAGUCAAUGAAGUCAUCGACCCAUGAGGAUGCUGGGAUAGCCAGACCAUCAUUCUGCAGCCUACAUGGUCCAUGGUCCUGAAUCCUGUUUGGAGGAAAAUGGCACAUUUAUCGAAGCACUCAGUGGUGUACUGAAUCUUCUGAGAAAGGGAGGACGACUCACUUGUCGGGGUACUCCGUGGCGUACUGAAUCUUCUGAGUCAGGGAGAAGGGGUCGCAGCCGACGCUGGAGCAUGCUGCGUCCAUGCCUGCCACCGUGGUGAAGUUAAAGCCCCUUGUGGUGACAAAGGCAGGGAGACCCACCUUAGGCAUGGCCAGCUCCUGAUCCAGGCCCACCGUCACAUGGAACAUCAGGAAGACCGAAGCGCAGAACAUGAAGAGAAACAGCACCAUCUGAGGGAGGGAGCAGAGCAUUGAGGGUGAGUCUGCUGUCAAGGAAACGAGGGAAGAGGACAGCUGAGAACUGAAAAUGAGGAACAGAAGAUGUGGAAGAAUGCCCACCAGCAGACAAUGAGAGACAGGAGUUAGAGAGCAGAAGAACGAGAGAAUAGCAGAAGAAAUAACAAAAGUGAAGGUAAACGAAGAGCAGACUGGUUAAAGCAUGAGAGGGAAUGUUGAGUUUUCAAGCGAAUAUGAGCAGUAUCACAGAGCCAACGAUGGGAACCGCGGAAAGGAAAAGUAAAACGAAGAACUGAAUAUACAAGCAUAUAAAACCUAAUACGCGUAUGGAGAAGGGAGACGUACUGUAUCAGCGUCAGCUUCUGAUACUUAUAAGUCCCCAGGCCAGAGAACCCCGGCAAAAGAAUCUCCCGGACGGUUGCCGGGGACGGCAGUGUACGUACCACGGUAACCCUGGUGACGGGGUGCAGCAGAACGGGGGCGUAGUAGCGCUUCAUGGCGGGCAGCAGGACGCCCUGGCCGUGAUUGGACGGGCAGGGGGACGACACGGUGACGCAGCAGGCUAGCUCGCAGCGCCCGGCGUCCUGCCGGCGAGCGUCCAGGGACAGCAGCGCCACGAAGGCGGUGAUCUGGAGCGCGAAGUCGAACAGCACGGCUAGCGCCGCGUACAGCGCGAACGACUUCACCGCCGGCAUGCUGCUCAGCGCACCUGAAGCACAGAGCACAAACACCCGCCAGCAGAGCGGGUAAUGGGGCCUCACCCAGGAAGAAGCAGAUGGACUCAGACAUGCUGCAGAGGAGCAUGCUGGGAGCCACGUGACCCAGAACUCUGCCGAUCUGUUCUUCUCUGCUCUCUCCCAGCCUACGCUCAUCUCUCUGAGGGGGAGAGAGGAUUUACAACUUUUACACAGCAGCUCUGGGACAAUCAAAGAGGACCCUGGGACUCACCUUUCAUCAAAACCUGCCAUC